AACCAAUGAUGAAAUUAGAUUCUGCCAGAUGAGUGUUCAUGAUAUCAACACCAUUCCGUUCCAUUUUCUGAGGUU